rnacentral:rRNA from 1 species
CGAAAGCAAUAAGUGACCCACCUGGGGAGUACGUUCGCAAGAAUGAAACUCAAAGGAAUUGACGGGGGCCCGCACAAGCGGAGGAACAUGUGGUUUAAUUCGAUGAUACGCGAGGAACCUUACCAGGGCUUAAAUGCAGUACGACAGGGGCGGAAACACGUAUUUCUUCGGACAGAUUGCAAGGUGCUGCAUGGUUGUCGUCAGCUCGUGCCGUGAGGUGUCAGGUUAAGUCCCAUAACGAGCGCAACCCCUAUGGUUAGUUGCCAGCAGGUCAUGCCGAGAACUCUAGCGAGACUGCCGGUGUAAACCGCGAGGAAGGUGGGGAUGACGUCAAAUCAGCACGGCCCUUACGUCCAGGGCUACACACGUGCUACAAUGGUAGGUACAAUGAGCAGCCACCACGCGACAGGGCGCAAAUCUCAAAAGCAGAUCACAGUUCGGAUCGGAGUCUGCAACUCGACUCCAUGAAGCUGGAAUCGCUAGUAAUCGCACAUCAGCCAUGGCGCGGUGAAUACGUUCCCGGGCCUUGUACACACCGCCCGUCAAGCCAUGGAAGCUGGGGGUGCCUGAAGUUCGUCACCGUCAAGGAGCGACCUAGGGUAAACUAUGACUGGGGCUAAGUCGUAACAAG